ACGGCAGGCUCACCAGGCACCGCGUCACCCCGCGAUCCAGCCAGGGAGGGCUUCCUGGAACCACCCCAAAACCACGUUGCCAUGGGGGGGAUUUAUGCAAAUUGUUCUAAAUCCUUUCUGUGUGCUUGCUAGGGCGCUCCGGAGACCUCUGGACAAUGGGUUCUCUGUCCUCUGUCUCUAGACACAGAGCUCCAAGGCCCGCCACGGUCAGGAAUCAUUUUAUCAGCGUCAUCGCUGGAACGGGAGAGAGACGCGCUGGGACCGGCCGGGCGGUCACUGUUUCCCAAAGCAAGUUAGUGCUCUUGGCUGUUCCAUAAAGGAGGCAGAAAGAGGCUGCUAACCAACCCAAGACGAACGGCGCUGCCUGCCUGCACGUCUCAGCAUGAUGGCUACCUCUGGAUCUGCACAGCCGGUCUGAGGGUCCGCGCGCCACGGACUUCACUGUUCACAUUUCACAGAAGGUAAGACCGAGGCCCGGAGGGCUCAAUCGUUCCCCACACACCAGGCUAGAUGCCCAUCGGUGCUAUUUCUAAGUGUUUCCUGGAAUUUUCACUCAUCUCAAAUCUUCCAUUUCCCACUGCAAUGGUCUGUCCACUGAGCCCUGAUACGGAAGCUUCCGGGGACCAGAACGGACGUUAACCAGGAGCGAAACACGGUGCACGCUGAGAAGUGGACUCUGCCAGCCUCACCUGACGCCAGUUUGCAGCACCAUGCAGUGCUGGAAGAACACGGCUCCAGCAUCGACCAUCCUGGAGCCCGGGCGAGGCUGGGCCUCUGACCGCGGCGUCCUGCCCUUUCAGCCUCACUCUCCUCGUCUAUAAGAGGGGACAUCCUGGGGGGGUGCAAGGGUGGCAGGAGAAACUGACAAAGUGCUGAGCACCAAAACGGCCACGCAGGUUAAGCGCUCAGUCGACAGCAUCUACAAUAUUUGUAGUAUUCAUCCAAAGUGCGUAUAUCCUACCAUGCUCUAGCCUAGAAAACUUAAUGCUGAUUUACCCCGGCUCAUAACUUAAAGGAAUUAGGAGAAGACAGGGGAAGGGACCUUAGGGGUCUUCAUCCUCAGUCACCACGUCCUCUGCUUCCUGACCCCAUCAAUCCUGCUUCCUGGAAUGACUCAAAGCUGCAGGUGUGGCUGAAGGUAAAUGAUCACCACUGGGUAAUGUCCCCGAGGCCUAUACACACACCGGGUCCUGGGCAAACAUGCAACGGUUCAAUAGAGGUGGAUGCAGAAAAAUCACUGCCAGCCCCCGGGCCUCAUCCCCACGCUGAUCCCUUCUAUCCCGCACCCGACAAACGCUGCGUGGCUCCCGGAGUUUCCACCUCUACCUCUACCACCCACUCUCAUCUUGUUUGAAGUGUCACCUGCAGCGUAGGAAAAGCACUGACACAGCUCACAGAAGACAACGUCAGGUUCCAGGGAGCAGCACCAGUGUCCCUGCGGUGGACGGAGAGGGACUCGACCUGGUGCAAACCAACAGCCAGGAAGGUCACCAAACUGGAGAGAGGCAACCAUGGAAACACGGUGGCCCUCCGCACAUCACAUCACAGCAGCUACUCACGCUGAGCGAGCCUGGAGGUGCAAGACUUCAUUAAGGGCCGGCGCUGUGGCGUAGCAGGUAAAGCCACUGCCUGCGACACCAGCAUCCACGUGGGCACCAGUUCGAGUCCUGGCUGCUGCACAUCGGAUCCACCUCCCUGCUAAUGCACCCAGGAAAGCAGCAGAAGAUGGAUCAAGUCCUUGGGCCCUACACCCACGUGGGAGAUCCAGAAGACGCUCAUUGCUGCUAUUUGGGAAGUGGACCAGUAGAUGGAAGUUCCCUCUCUCCCUCUCUCUCUGUAACUUUUUUCUUUUUUUUGAAGAUUCUUAUUUAUUUACUUGAAAGGCAGAAAUACGGGGGGGAGGGGGGAGAGAGAGAGAGAGAGAGAGAGAGAGAGAGAGAGAGAGAGAGAGAAUCUUCCAUUGCUCCCCAAGUGGCCGCAAUAUCCAGGGGCAGGCCAGGCUGAAGCCAGGAGCCCCGAGCUUCCUCGGGUCUCCCACAUGGGCCACCUUCUGCUGCUUUCCCUGGAGCAUUAGCAGGGAGCUGGAUGGGAAGCAGAACAGCCGGGACUCAAACCAGCGCCCAUAUGGGAUGCUGGCACUGCAGGCAGAGGCUUAACUUUCUGUUCCACAGUGCUAACUCCUUAACUCUGACCUUCAAAUGGAUAAAUAAAUCCAAAAAAAAAAAAAAAAA